GACGAACGCUGGCGGCGUGCUUAACACAUGCAAGUCGAACGGAAAGGCCCUGCUUUUGUGGGGUGCCCGGGUGGCAAACGGGUGAGUAACACGUGAGUAUCCUGCCCUAGACUUUGGGAUAACUUCAGGAAACUGGGGCUAAUACCGGAUAGCAUCCCCUGCUGCAUGGAGGGCGUUGGAACUUCUCGGCUGUUGGGGAUGGACUCGCGGCUUAUCAGCUUGUUGGUGGGGUAGUGGCUUACCAAGGCUGUGAAGGGUAGGCGGCCUGAGAGGGUGACCGGCCACAUUGGGACUGAGAUACGGACCAGACGGCAACGGGGGGCAGAAGGGGGGAAUAUUGCACAAUGGGCGGGAGCCUGAGGCAGCAACGCCGCGGGCGGGAUGACGGCCUUCGGGGUGUAAACAGCUGUCGCCUGUGACGAAGCUUGAGUGACGGUAAUGGAUAAAGAAGCACCGGCUAACUACGUG
rnacentral:rRNA from 1 species